UACAGAGGGUGCAAGCGUUAAUCGGAAUUACUGGGCGUAAAGCGUGCGUAGACGGUUAUGUAAGUCAGAUGUGAAAGCCCAAGGGCCUCAACCUUGGAAUUGCAUUUGAGACUGCAUAGCUAGGGUGCGGAAGAGGGAAGCGGAAUUUCCGGUGUAGCGGUGAAAUGCGUAGAUAUCGGAAGGAACACCAGUGGCGAAAGCGGCUUCCUGGUCCAGCACCGACGUCAGGCACGAAAGCGUGGGGAGCAAACAGG
rnacentral:rRNA from 1 species